AAGGGCUUGUGCCAGGCCUGCCAAAAAGCAUCAGGAAAGAAACUAGUCACAAAAUGCACAGAGGCCAAAAAUAAAGACACAAAUAAUAAUGCUUAACAAUGAAGAAUGUUCAAAAUAAGGGGAUGGUACCCUCAUCCUUUUUUUUUAGUACUGGUUAAAAGGAGGUAAUCUUUGGUGAAUGGUAAUGGAAUGAAUUUUUCACUUCACUAUUCCAUCGAGUUUUUAUUUCUUAAUAUUUUGUUACUUUCCACCAAAUAUAAACUAAAAUAUUCAAUGAUCAAGAAUGUUAGGAAAAUAAUUCAUGUUUAGUUAACACAAAUUGUAGUUAAUACCCAUUCAUGAUGUCCACCUAAAUUGCACACAAACACUAGAUCUCCAUAACAAGAGUACAUGACCUCAAAUCAGGGAACAAAACCACCAGGGAAAACAACACAACUAUUAGGCUUUAUUUGUUUCGUAGAAAAUAACUUGUAUAUGAAAAA
rnacentral:misc_RNA from 1 species